rnacentral:lncRNA from 1 species
GAAAUAAUCAGGAAGCUUGGUAAUGAAAUUUAUGAAGGACCUAUCACCUCGGAAGAGAACUGCACAGAUGGGAAAUUUUUUACUAAAACAGCAGAAUGAAAAGGGAGCAGAGAAAAUCUCCCAGGAAUUUUGAUCUUACAGAUGCCUACUUACAUAUGACCUGAGAGGGGGAAAAAAAGCAUCCACCAUAGCAGCGACAGUUAUGGUGUGAGGCAGCCAAAGCCCAAGAAAUUCCAUCUUUCCUUCUUCCCUCGAGAAUCCUGAGUCCAAAUAAAACAUCUUGCUUCAAGAAGCAAAAUAACACUGCUGCCUGUGUGCUAUUGCUAUGGCAACCCAGAAGGGCCUGCAAGCCGGGUGUAGAGGACAGCGAAGCUCUGAGUGGAACGUGGCCUCGGAAUUGCUUUUCCAGUGCCUGUAAAGGAUGUAAAGCCCUGUGUCUCCAUCAUGGAGUAAGUGACAUGCCGUCAUUCUUCGCUGUCUUAGAGGGCAGAGCACAGAAAGUUGGGGGUCACUUAGCAGGGGUGUUGUCUGAUUUAUUGUACAAACUCUGAAAUUUCUGGCCCAUACUUGUUUCAUUAGGCAUAAACUCAAACUGAAUACAGUGCAUAACUUGUCCAUAUAUCUUUAAACCUGGGUAUUAAUUUCCCUGUUGACAAUAUAUUCAGUCCACAAUGAGAUACAGACUCAGCAUUAGAAUGUGAAGGCAAAAAAACAGAUGAAAAGAAAGGUCUAAUUUUACUUCCCUGAGAUGUAUGCCAUUUGGAAGUCUUAGAGAUGGUCCUAGAACCAGGAUUCCCUCAAAAGAGAGCCUGAAGCUAAAGCUCAUAUUUUGGAAAUGUGUUUGGUGAUACAAUACUAGAGGCAGAAAUACAGGACAAUAGAAUAACAACAGAGAAGAAACAACAAAUAAAGGAAAGCAUUGACCUUUUAUGAGGCUUCCCCCAGUGGUUGUUAUCGUGGCUUGUAACUUCAUGUUUCCCAGAGCCUCAUGUUCUUAUAGGUGGGACUUUCCAGGAAUGGGUUUAACUAGGGUG